rnacentral:rRNA from 1 species
GACGAACGCUGGCGGCGUGCUUAACACAUGCAAGUCGAACGAUGAAGCCGGAGCUUGCUCUGGUGAAUUAGUGGCGAACGGGUGAGUAACACGUGAGUAACCUGCCCUUGACUCUGGGAUAACUGCGGGAAACUGUAGCUAACACCGGAUACGACCCUCGGCGGCAUCGCCAGGGGGUGGAAAGAAUUUCGGUCAAGGAUGGACUCGCGGCCUAUCAGCUAGUUGGUGAGGUAACGGCUCACCAAGGCGACGACGGGUAGCCGGCCUGAGAGGGUGACCGGCCACACUGGGACUGAGACACGGCCCAGACUCCUACGGGAGGCAGUAGUGGGGAAUAUUGCACAAUGGGCGCAAGCCUGAUGCAGCAACGCCGCGUGAGGGAUGACGGCCUUCGGGUUGUAAACCUCUUUUAGUAGGGAAGAAGCGAAAGUGACGGUACCUGCAGAAAAAGCACCGGCUAACUACGUGCCAGCCGCCGCGGUAA